GGUCCUGUGGUCUAGUGGUAUGAUUCUCGCUUUGGGUUUGCGCUAUUAUUUCCAACGCCUAAAUAUGCGAGAGGCCCCGCGUUCGAACCGCGGCAGGACCC